rnacentral:lncRNA from 1 species
UGCGGGUGAAUCAGAGUCCCAGGUGGGAUUCACACCCAGGUGAGCUUGACUCUGGGGUAGGGCUGGAAGGUGCACUUUCUGUUAUAGUUUCACCCAGGGUCAAAGCCAGGCUCAUUUAGGCCAGGCUUUUUCGUGCAGCCAGAUGUCUCUCUGAGCUCUUGAUCCAGAGAGCCAGCUGCACUGGGAGGUAUCUCUGUAGGUCCUGGGUGCCUCAUACCCUCCACACUCAAACCUGAGCUCCCCUGACCUGCCCCUGCCCUGCCCGCGUCAUGGAGACAGGAGACUGUCCACAUGCAAUUAGACUCCCAAAGCCAUUCUGAUCUCCUGCUGCUCCCUCAACCUCACACGCAGUGAUCCAUGCAACAAACAUACACUGAGC